AUGAGUGUGUCCACUCAGCUCCUGGGGUUGCUGCUGCUGUGGCUUACAGAUGCCAGAUGUGACGUCCAGAUGACUCAGUCUCCAACCUUCCUGGCUGCAUCUGUGGGAGAAACUGUCACUAUCACAUGUAGAGCAAGUGAGGACAUUUACAAUGCUUUAAGUUGGUAUCAGCAAAAAUGUGGAAAAUCUCCUCAGCUCCUGAUCUAUGCUGUAACCAGCUUUGAAGAUGGGGUCUCAUCGUGGUUCAGUGGCAAUGGAACUGGCACACAGCUUUCUCUGAAGAUCAACAGCCUGCAGCCUGAAGAUAUUACUUCAGGUUCAGAGGCAGUGGAUCAGGGACAGGUUUCACUCUCAGCAUCAACAGUGUGGAGCCCAAAGAUGCUGGAAGUUAUUACUGUCAACAAGGUUGCGUCCCACAGUGAUACAGACCAUCUUGGCAAUAGAGAAUACAAAUACCUUCUUCAAGAGGAGAUAAAUAAAGCAAAUAAAUAUACAUGUCAUGUCCCGCGCUUCGCUGACCAGCAGCAAUGA